rnacentral:rRNA from 1 species
UACAGAGGUCUCAACCGUUGUUCGGAUUCAUUGGGCGUAAAGGGUGCGUAGGCGGUCGCGCAAGUCGGAUGUGAAAUCUUAGGGCUCAACCCUGAAACUGCAUUCGAUACUGCGUGGCUCGAGUACUGGAGAGGAGACUGGAAUUUACGGUGUAGCAGUGAAAUGCGUAGAUAUCGUAAGGAAGACCAGUGGCGAAGGCGAGUCUCUGGACAUUUCCUGACGCUGAGGCACGAAAGCCAGGGGAGCAAACGGG